GGAGACUUAGCUCAGUGGUAGAGCGCUUGCCUAGCGAGCGCAAGGCUCUGGGUUCGGUCCCCAGCUCCG
rnacentral:tRNA from 1 species